CAUUUAUAUCAGAGGGUGUUCAGGAGGAGUAUGAUGAUGUGAAGAAUGUCAGAGAAUAUAUGAGUGACAUGUUUGACUAUGAUGAUGUGGAGGAGGAUCCAGGAAAACAGGCAGGAGCUGUAUAACUCAAACCUCACACACUGCCUUAAAUCCUUUUAAAGCUUUUAAAGUUUUAGCAAUCUUACUGUAUAAGUUUCAGUUGCAGGCUAACAAUGUUUUGUUACAUUCUGUACUGAAAUAUACAAUUGCAAUUU